GCCGGUGUAGCUCAGGGGUAGAGCGUUUCCUUGGUAAGGAAGAGGUCACGAGUUCAAUUCUCGUCAUUGGCUC
rnacentral:tRNA from 5 species